rnacentral:rRNA from 1 species
CUACGGGGGGCAGCAGUGAGGAAUAUUGCACAAUGGGGGGAACCCUGAUGCAGCAACGCCGCGUGGAGGAUGACGCAUUUCGGUGUGUAAACUCCUUUUAUAUGUCAAGAAAAUGACGGUAGCAUAUGAAUAAGCACCGGCUAACUCCGUGCCAGCAGCCGCGGUAAUACGGAGGGUGCAAGCGUUACUCGGAAUCACUGGGCGUAAAGGACACGUAGGCGGGUUGGAAAGUCAGGUGUGAAAUCCUACAGCUUAACUGUAGAACUGCACUUGAAACUUCUAAUCUAGAGUAUGGAGGGGGAGAUUGAAUUAGUGGUGUAGGGGUAAAAUCCGUAGAUAUCACUAGGAAUACCUAAAGCGAAGGCGAUCUCCUGGAACAUUACUGACGCUAAGGCGUGAAAGCGUGGGGAGCAAACAGGAUUAGAUACCCGUGUAGUC